AACGGAUUUGGCGGCAAAAUAGCCCUUCUAGAGGAACCUGCCCUGUAAACGAUGGUCCACGAUUUACCUUACUUUUAUUAGUAGUCAGUUUGCAUACCGCUGUUGUUAGUUAGUUUCUUUAGAAAACUUUCUUAAAUGGAAAAUUCAUUUACUUCAAGUAAAGGUGCAGUUUAUGUAAAAGAUAGAGGUGGGUUACAAUUAAUUAGAAUAAUUACGGAUACUGAGUUGAAAAUUUAGUUUAAGGUGGAUUUAGAAGUAAAUUUAUUAAGUGAUUUGAUAUGAGCACUGUUUUGUGUACACAC
rnacentral:rRNA from 1 species